rnacentral:lncRNA from 1 species
CUGCUAGAACUAUAGGUUUCUUAUUGAAAUUGUUUUUCUUAUUUUUCUAUCUUUUCUACUCUGCAUUUUUCUUUCCUUCCUUCCAUCCUUCUUUUGUUCCUUUUUCACUUAUUUUCCUCCAUCUCUUCUUUUUCAAUGUCUCUGUCUCACUUUCUCUUAUUCUUUCUUCCUCUAAAUUUGAAAACAUUGAAACAUUUUUUACAUAUCUAUUUCUCAUAUCCACUACAUUCCAUUACUGUUCUAAAUGCCAGUAAGUCAAAGAUAAAUAAGCCAUAGCAACUAUCCUUAGAAAGUAAGAGUUUCAUGAGGCAGAAAGACAAAAAUCAAACAAUUGCAAUGAUAGAUGUUAUAGAUAUUAAAAUAGAUGUAUUGCAAGGUGCUAUGAGAGCAAAGAAGAGCAAAUAGAAUGCCUUAUAAAGUGUAAAAUAUUCUUAAAAGGUCAAAGGAGAGAACAAACAGGAGUCUUAUUUUUCCUUAGAAUUCAGGGGCUAAACACUGGGCACCU